UACAGAGGGGGCAAGCGUUGUUCGGAAUUACUGGGCGUAAAGGGCGCGUAGGCGGCCUGCUAAGUCGAACGUGAAAUCCCUGGGCUCAACCCAGGAACUGCGUCCGAUACUGGUUGGCUUGAAUCCGGGAGAGGGAUGUGGAAUUCCAGGUGUAGCGGUGAAAUGCGUAGAUAUCUGGAGGAACACCGGUGGCGAAGGCGGAUCUCUGGACAGUUCCUGACGCUGAGGCGCGAAGGCCAGGGGAGCAAAUGGG
rnacentral:rRNA from 1 species